GCCGGGCGUGGUGGCGCACACCUGUAAUCCCAGCGGCUUGGGAGGCUGAGAUAGGAAGAUCGUGAGUUCAAAGCCAGCCUAGGCAAUUUAGUGAGACCCUGUCUCUA
rnacentral:sRNA from 1 species